rnacentral:rRNA from 1 species
CCUACGGGCGGCAGCAGUGAGGAAUAUUGGACAAUGGCGGGAAGGCUGAACCAGCCAAGUAGCGUGAGGGAAGACUGCCCUAUGGGUUGUAAACCUCUUUUAUGCGGGGAUAAAGGUGUCCACGUGUGGAUGUUUGCAGGUACCGCAUGAAUAAGGACCGGCUAAUUCCGUGCCAGCAGCCGCGGUAAUACGGAAGGUCCGGGCGUUAUCCGGAUUUAUUGGGUUUAAAGGGUGCGUAGGCGGACAGUCAAGUCAGCGGUAAAAAUGCGGUGCUCAACGCCGUACAGCCGUUGAAACUGGGAGUCUUGAGUGGGCGAGAGGUAUGCGGAAUGCGUGGUGGAGCGGUGAAAUGCAUAGAUAGCACGCAGAACUCCGAUUGCGAAGGCAGCAUACCGGCGCCCGACUGACGCUGAGGCACGAAAGCGUGGGUAUCGAACAGGAUUAGAUACCCGUGUAGUC